rnacentral:rRNA from 1 species
UGAACGCUGGCGGCAGGCCUAACACAUGCAAGUCGAACGGUAACAUUUCUAGCUUGCUAGAAGAUGACGAGUGGCGGACGGGUGAGUAAUGCUUGGGAACUUGCCUUUGCGAGGGGGAUAACAGUUGGAAACGACUGCUAAUACCGCAUAAUGUCUACGGACCAUACGGGGCUUCGGCUCCGGCGCAAAGAGAGGCCCAAGUGAGAUUAGCUAGUUGGUAAGGUAACGGCUUACCAAGGCGACGAUCUCUAGCUGUUCUGAGAGGAAGAUCAGCCACACUGGGACUGAGACACGGCCCAGACUCCUACGGGAGGCAGCAGUGGGGAAUAUUGCACAAUGGGGGAAACCCUGAUGCAGCCAUGCCGCGUGUGUGAAGAAGGCCUUCGGGUUGUAAAGCACUUUCAGUUGUGAGGAAAAGUUAGUAGUUAAUACCUGCUAGCCGUGACGUUAACAACAGAAGAAGCACCGGCUAACUCCGUGCCAGCAGCCGCGGUAAUACGGAGGGUGCGAGCGUUAAUCGGAAUUACUGGGCGUAAAGCGCACGCAGGCGGUUUGUUAAGCUAGAUGUGAAAGCCCCGGGCUCAACCUGGGAUGGUCAUUUAGAACUGGCAGACUAGAGUCUUGGAGAGGGGAGUGGAAUUCCAGGUGUAGCGGUGAAAUGCGUAGAUAUCUGGAGGAACAUCAGUGGCGAAGGCGACUCCCUGGCCAAAGACUGACGCUCAUGUGCGAAAGUGUGGGUAGCGAACAGGAUUAGAUACCCUGGUAGUCCACUCCG